GAAACAACCCAGACCGCCAGCUAAGGUCCCAAAGUCAUGGUUAAGUGGGAAACGAUGUGGGAAGGCCCAGACAGCCAGGAUGUUGGCUUAGAAGCAGCCAUCAUUUAAAGAAAGCGUAAUAGCUCACUGGUCGAGUCGGCCUGCGCGGAAGAUGUAACGGGGCUAAACCAUGCACCGAAGCUGCGGCAGCGACACUGUGUGUUGUUGGGUAGGGGAGCGUUCUGUAAGCCUGUGAAGGUGUGUCGUGAGGCAUGCUGGAGGUAUCAGAAGUGCGAAUGCUGACAUAAGUAACGAUAAAGCGGGUGAAAAGCCCGCUCGCCGGAAGACCAAGGGUUCCUGUCCAACGUUAAUCGGGGCAGGGUGAGUCGACCCCUAAGGCGAGGCCGAAAGGCGUAGUCGAUGGGAAACGGGUUAAUAUUCCCGUACUUGGUGUUACUGCGAAGGGGGGACGGAGAAGGCUAUGUUGGCCGGGCGACGGUUGUCCCGGUUUAAGCGUGUAGGUGUGUGUUCCAGGUAAAUCCGGUUCACUUUAACACUGAGGCGUGACGACGAGGCACUACGGUGCUGAAGCAACAAAUGCCCUGCUUCCAGGAAAAGCCUCUAAGCAUCAGGUAACAUCAAAUCGUACCCCAAACCGACACAGGUGGUCAGGUAGAGAAUACCAAGGCGCUUGAGAGAACUCGGGUGAAGGAACUAGGCAAAAUGGUGCCGUAACUUCGGGAGAAGGCACGCUGACACGUAGGUGAAGUGAUUUACUCAUGGAGCUGAAGUCAGUCGAAGAUACCAGCUGGCUGCAACUGUUUAUUAAAAACACAGCACUGUGCAAACACGAAAGUGGACGUAUACGGUGUGACGCCUGCCCGGUGCCGGAAGGUUAAUUGAUGGGGUCAGCGCAAGCGAAGCUCCUGAUCGAAGCCCCGGUAAACGGCGGCCGUAACUAUAACGGUCCUAAGGUAGCGAAAUUCCUUGUCGGGUAAGUUCCGACCUGCACGAAUGGCGUAAUGAUGGCCAGGCUGUCUCCACCCGAGACUCAGUGAAAUUGAACUCGCUGUGAAGAUGCAGUGUACCCGCGGCAAGACGGAAAGACCCCGUGAACCUUUACUAUAGCUUGACACUGAACAUUGAGCCUUGAUGUGUAG
rnacentral:rRNA from 1 species